rnacentral:rRNA from 1 species
UCCACGCUGUAAACGAUGAUCACUCGUUGUUGGCGAUACACAGUCAGCGACUGAGCGAAAGCAUUAAGUGAUCCACCUGGGGAGUACGUUCGCAAGAAUGAAACUCAAAGGAAUUGACGGGGGCCCGCACAAGCGGAGGAACAUGUGGUUUAAUUCGAUGAUACGCGAGGAACCUUACCUGGGCUUAAAUGUAGAUUGCAUGAGGUGGAAACACUUCUUUCUUUCGAGACUAUUUACAAGGUGCUGCAUGGUUGUCGUCAGCUCGUGCCGUGAGGUGUCGGGUUAAGUCCCAUAACGAGCGCAACCCUCAUCGCCAGUUGCCAGCAUGUAAUGAUGGGGACUCUGGUGAAACUGCCGGUGUAAACCGUGAGGAAGGUGGGGAUGACGUCAAAUCAGCACGGCCCUUAUGU